UAACCGGAUAACAUGAAAAUGGCACUGCACAUCUUCACUGUCUCAGUUACCAUAUAAACGAGCGCUCAAAAUGGGAAUAAAAACACAGUCGCUCUGCUGCCACCAAGACGCUAUUCAUUUGGUUGUCUCCCUCUCCUUCUCUCUUUCUCACACCCUCUCAGUCUCUCUGAUCUCAAUAACCCUAUUAACAUUGAAUUCUACCUCUCGCCCCCACUUGCCUCGGUUGCUCGGAAGGAAUCAGCUAAACGUCGUCGUCUUCGCCUUCUUCGAGUACCAAAGCGGCACCGAACACUCUUCGAGACUUUUCAGGUAUGGGGGUUUAAGGAUUUUGGAGGAGGCCCGUUUGGUUUCCGAAGAAAAAAAUGUGGUAAAAGAGGAAUCGGGAUUGUGACUCGAGAAAUUCUUUGUUGUCUGGGAUUCGAGAGAACAGUAAUGACCGAGCCUCUACUGUGUGUAAAGUGAGGCCUACUGUUGAUGAUAGAAUAGUUCAAUGGGAAAUUCUCGUUUGUAUUGAAGGCUUAAAUGUCUCUAUUUUUGGUAGGAUCACUAAAAAUAAUUGCUUCGUCUUAAAUCGCUUGUUUUGUUGAUCAUACCUUCGUUCCCAUCUCUACAAUGGUGCUCGGUUUUUUUUUUUAUUUGACUACCAAUGUAAAACUAUGUGGCGGUAUCUUGACAAAUGUCGGUUGGGUUACUCUUUGUGCCAAGACAAGCACUUCUGAUACAUUCUUUUGAUUAAUAAACAAAUGAAUGGAUGAAUAAAUAAAUUAUGGUUGUCUAUCCAUUUGAAUACUUCCCUCACCUGGGACGAGUUCGUUCUUGUAUCUUGCCAUUUCCUCUCACUGCCAAUAGAUUUGCAUCUCAUUUUUGGAUCCAUAACCUGUUUGUAUAUGAGGUGGGUAUGGAUGGAGAUGGAGUUAGAUUCUAAUUGGAAUAGGCAUUAUGAAUUUAUUGGUUCUUUUUUAGGUCAUUAUCGGCAUAUUAUCAAUAGGCACUGACUGUUCUGUUUCAAUUGCCCGAAUAUUGUGGAAAUAAAAUUUAGUUAUUACCUCAAACUGAAAUGGAAGUGACCUCAUAACUUGAUCAGUGGCCAGUCUUAAUGUUUUAAAUAUUUGAUUCAUAAACUUUAGCUUUCAAACGUUUGCAUUAAGCAUGUAUACCUAGAUCUGUCUUUGCAGAAUACUGCCUUCCUUGAUCAAAAUUAACAUCUUGCGUGACCCUCCUGGGCACUAGCCUUUUCAAUAAAUCCAUCCUCCUGUACAAUAUAAUGGGAAAAAUGAUAAUAGUAAUAAUAAAGGGUGAACAAGACAGAUAGUUAGUCAAUCCAUACCCCACAAGUUCACAUAAAGAGAACAUGGGGAAAGGGGGGCAUAGGGAAAACCCAUCUUUCCCGGAGUUAUACAAGAGAUUUUUAGCCCGGUUUGGAGUUGGGGAUGGAAGCUCUUAAAUGUAAAGUUCUGGGGGAUGGGAGCUCUUGAAUUUUUCCCAAUGCCUGGUGCUGUUCCUCCACUUUUUUCUCACCAUGGAACUCUUCUCUUAGAUACUUGUAAUUUGUGAUUGUCAGUUGAAGUAUGCAAAUUAACUGUAGCUCAAAAUCUCAAAUGCCCUUCGUAUUCUCUUAAGAAUGGGCUGGAGAGUGUGGUCGUGGGUUUAAGAUGUGUAGGGUAAACUCAAAUUUCUGAUUUUCACAUCAAGUAUUAGGAGAUAGAAACUUUAUACGCUCGUUUCUUGAGGAAGAUGGCUGUGUUGAGCUGUUGAGGGACAUCUGGUGUUUCUAAGCAAGAACUUGGUUUUUCUGCAUCCUAAUUUUACAACUUUCUGGCUGGAAGACUGUUCAGUAAAAUGCAUUGUGAACCAAUAUUUUUAGUUUAAUCUUGGUAUGUUGUAAAGGUUGUUACUAAGCAAUGAGAUACAAUUCAUAAUUGCGUGGAAUGGAUGUGAUAGUUUAUCAACUACUAGGAAAUUAACAUAAAAGGUCCGAGAAGAUCUUGUGGAAUGCUGAUGACUCAAAAUCUGAAUUAUUGGAUCUCAUUCCUUAAAGGUCUGUGAAUGCCAAGUCUUUCAACUUGAUGUUGUUUGUCUGCAUGACAAAGGAUGCUGGAAAAUCUUUCCACUUGAGGGAAGAUGGGUGGGUGAGGGGUGAUGGAGUUUGAUGACUCGGUUUGUUCUUCUUCAGGUUGCUAGUGUUGGUUCUGCUGGUCCAAUAUAAUAUUACAUUAGUUUUUCCAUGGAGAGCUCUGAUGAUGAAAAGGAUGGAAUCCUUGGGAAUUACAUUCCAACAGAACUGACACGUGUUUUGGCAUCCAGUGGAGUAAAAUUUGUGGAUCAAGUGGUGAAUGGGCAAAAUGAACUUUGUUUGGAAAAUUUUCGAGUGGAUAAAAGCAUGUAUUUUACAAGUUGGGCAAUAUUUUGGCCACACCAAUCGAAUCAAGAUUGAGGAGCAAUUAGCCAACCUUUUUAUAUAACAACUUUUCAUUCUUCC